UACGUAGGGUGCGAGCGUUGUCCGGAAUUAUUGGGCGUAAAGAGCUCGUAGGCGGUGUGUCACGUCGGCCGUGAAAACCUGCAGCUUAACUGUGGGCGUGCGGUCGAUACGGGCAUCACUGGAGUUCGGCAGGGGAGACUGGAAUUCCUGGUGUAGCGGUGAAAUGCGCAGAUAUCGGGAGGAACACCAAUGGCGAAGGCAGCUCGCUGGGACGGUACUGACGCUGAGGCGCGAAAGCGUGGGGAGCAAACAGG
rnacentral:rRNA from 1 species